rnacentral:rRNA from 1 species
AGCGCAGGCGGUAAGACAAGUUGGAAGUGAAAACCAUGGGCUCAACCCAUGAAUUGCUUUCAAAACUGUUUUUCUUGAGUAGUGCAGAGGUAGAUGGAAUUCCCGGUGUAGCGGUGGAAUGCGUAGAUAUCGGGAGGAACACCAGUGGCGAAGGCGGUCUACUGGGCACCAACUGACGCUGAGGCUCGAAAGCAUGGGUAGCAAACA